rnacentral:rRNA from 1 species
AACGAACGCUGGCGGCAUGCCUAACACAUGCAAGUCGAACGAGACCUUCGGGUCUAGUGGCGCACGGGUGCGUAACGCGUGGGAACCUGCCCUUAGGUUCGGAAUAACUCCCCGAAAGGGGUGAUAAUACCGGAUAAUGUCUUAGGCCCAAAGAUUUAUCGCCUUUGGAUGGGCCCGCGUUGGAUUAGCUAGUUGGUAGGGUAAAAGCCUACCAAGGCGACGAUCCAUAGCUGGUCUGAGAGGAUGAUCAGCCACACUGGGACUGAGACACGGCCCAGACUCCUACGGGAGGCAGCAGUGGGGAAUAUUGGACAAUGGGCGAAAGCCUGAUCCAGCAAUGCCGCGUGAGUGAUGAAGGCCUUAGGGUUGUAAAGCUCUGUUACCCGGGAUGAUAAUGACAGUACCGGGAGAAUAAGCUCCGGCUAACUCCGUG